UUCUGUCAUCCUUGCACAACGAGUUCAUUAGAACACUAUAUGUGUAUACAUCUGGUGAAAUUCCGCCGUUAAGCAUGCAAAUCAAGAAGCUCUUGGCCUUUUCCAACCUCCCCGAUUGGCACAAUGCAUAAAUUAGAGUGUUGUAGGUGACAACAUCUGGCCUGACUCCAUGAUCUUCCAUUCCUUCAAAAAGAGGGAGCACUUCUUCCCAGCGACUCAUGUUGCAUAACCCAUGAAUCAAUGUGGUAUAAUUGAAAAUAUUCGGUACAACACUUUUGCUGAUCAUAUCUCGAAAUAGGGUCAAUGCCUCAUCUAUUUGUCUUUCUUUACAGAGGCUAUCGAUGAUUGGAUUGUAGCAUUCUUGGUUGGGCUUGAACCUUCCAUCUUCCCACAUCUUCGUAAGUAUCUCGAGAGCCUUAGAAGUUUUCCCAGCUUUGCAUAGUCCAUUGAUCAUAGUAGCAUAAGUUAUUUCAUUGCAUGCGUAUCCUUUCGUUUCUAUUUCUUCGAAGAACUCCAUUGCCUCCGCCAGGGAACAAUUCUUGCAAAGCCCAUGAAGAAAAGUAUUUAUAGAAUGAGCAUUGGGUUGAAGACCGUAUUUAAGGGUAAUUGCUAAAACAGAGAAACAAGCGUUCAUCCAGUUCAGCCGGCACAAGCAAUUCAGAAAAAUAUUCAUUGUACUGACAUCAGGUCGGAAUUGAGCGCAACCCAUCAACUGUUUACACAUAGAAACCACAGCGGAAUAUUCCUUCAUCUUGGAGAGUGCCCCCAACAAACAAUUCAAAGUCCAAAUAGAGGGCAAGGGUUUGGUUUGAAUCAUGGAAUAAAAGUAACCCAAGGCUUCAUCUUUCCUAAUUUUUCCAGAUUUGCAUCGAGUCUGAAUCAUACUCUCCGACACCAAAAGGGUUUGUUUAAUUGUAUGCGUACAAGUAGGAUUAGCAUUAACAGCGUCGGAAUGAAAUGCCCUACUUGGAUUCUGCAGAAUGGCAAAAAUGAAAGAAGGAAGAUUACCUGGGAAUGGAGUUCUUGUAGUUAUCCUUUUCAUCGUCCUCUUCAGUUUCGUUAAACUAGUCACUUUCGAGGAAGAGGAAAAAGAAGGAACGCAAGUUCAAGGUUAUUGUUUGUUUUUUUUUUUUUCAACUGCUUCGGUGAGAAUAAAUAAUGUGUAAAAAAAUAAAGGUUUUUUAUUCAAAAUGGUCCCUGCGAUUUGUAUUAUCCAUAAGUUUGAUCCUUGAGAUUUCAAAUCAAUAGAAGUAGUCCCUGAGAUUGUCCACCAUUCAUGAUUUUGGUCAUUCCGCUGAAGCUUUUGGCCGGAAGUUUGAGCAAUUUUCAAAGCUUUGUAACUCAAUCAUUUCUUAACCAAAUUCGACCCAUAAUAUAUCAAAAUGAAGAUAGGAAAGUGUAGAAUAAGAUUAUAUUUAAUUGGAACCCCAAUGAUUGCCAUAGAUGGUCAGAAAAUAGCCUCAAAGUUGACUGGUCCGAGGGAAAACUGGAAAACUUGCCAGAAACUCUUCAAAAACUGGGUAAACUUUAAACGUUCAUAACUUCUUCAAUACUCAACGAAAUCAUCAAAAACGAAAAUCAUAGUUCUCAACAAGAAGAAGAGAAUGAUACAUUUUUCAACGGCUAAAUCGCCGUGGUUUGGCCGGAAAACUGCUUGAAAGUGGCUGUUGAAAAACGAGUCAGCAACUUUCGAUCCGUUUUCUGACCAAACCACGGCGAUUUAGUUGUUGAAAAUGUACCAUUCUCUUCUUCUCGUUGAGAAGUAUGAUUUUUGUUUUUGAAUCACUUAAUUUCGUUGAGUAUUGAAGAAGUUAUGAACGUUUAAAAUUUACCCAGUUUCCGACGAGUUUUCCAGUUUUCCCUCAGACCAGUCAAUUUUGAGGCUAUUUUCCAACCAUCUCCGGCAAUCAUUAGGAUUCCAAAUAGAUAUAAUCUUAUUCUAUACUUUCCUAUCUUCAUUUUGAUAUAUUACGGGUCGAUUUUGGUUAAGAAACGAUUGAGUUACGAAGCUUUGAAAAUUGCCUAAACUUCCGGCCAAAAGCUUCAGCGGAAGGACCAAAAUCAUGGAUGGUGGACAAUCUCAGGGACUACUUCUAUUGAUUUUAAAUCUCAGGGACCAAACUUAUGGAUGAUGCAAAUCUCAAUGACCAUUUUGAAUAAAAAGCCAAAAAUAAAUAAGUGUUUGAUAAACUGUAGUGCUAAAAGUGCUUUUGUAAAAAAAGAAAUAGGAUUGUUUAUAUGAAAAUUUCAUUAAUUGGUACCUAAUUAAAAAAAGCAAUUUUUUUAUAAGCAUGUGUAAAGCUGCUUCUAGGGGGUAUAGGUAAGAUUAUCAUACCAAAACCCAUGUACCAAUUAUCAUACCAAACUUUUGGUAUGACAAAAUCUAUUACCAUUAUCAUGCCAAACUUUUGGUAUACCGAAUUUCGGCAUGCCAAAUAGUUCGGUUGGUAAGGUAUGUUAAUGGUAAUGGUAAUUACCACUUUGUUUUAGGCCAUUCUUUUGGGCUAAAUUUUGAUUUUUUUUUUCCAACUCAAUUCAAGCCCCAAACGUGUUUUGGUCACUCCCUUUUGGCUUUCUAAAACUUUUUUAUUUAAGGGAACUUUAAAGAAAAGCUCCGGAUACUGUUCAUUUUAACGAAAAACCACAUUUUUACACUAAAAAAUCAAUUAUGAUAGUAUUCAUUUUACCCUUUAUUUUGUCUUUAUCGUUAAAACUCAAAGUUUUCAAGUCAUUUUUAUUAGUUUUCCUUUUAUUUAAUUAUGAGAAAUUUAUAGAGAUUCAUUUAAGAAACAAGAAGUAAAAAAAUUAACUUGAUAGACGAAGCCUGAGAGAAAGACAUCCCAAAUUGAUGAAGGAGAAGAUGAGGUGGACUCCAGAGAGAGAGAGUCACUGGAACUAGAGCAACAGAGAUGAAGUCUAUGGCUAGAUGAGUGAAAAAAUGAAGAGUCGCAGCGCAAGAAGGCUUAGAUUUUUUUAUUGGGAAAGUAGAAGUUAGAGGAUGAGAUGAUUGGAUAAAUGACUAGAAAAAAUAAAGUGCAUAUAUAAUGAUAAUAAUACCUAAUUAUAUAUAAAUGAAUAAAUAAAUGAUAUAAUAUUAAUAGUAGUGAUACGUUACGGUAUACCACUAGUAACCAUUACCGUACCAAAAGUGUAUGGUACGGUACAAAUACCGUACCAUUACCAAUGGUUUUUGCCACAACUUUGGUAUAGUACUGUUGAUAUGGUAAUUUGGCAAAAAAAUCCUGUGUUGGACCCAUGAUUUUGUAAGAAAAUACCUUUUUUUUUUCAUUUACGAACACAACUGAUGGCACAACUUUUUAGGAAAGUUUAAACCCCCAUCAAAAGAUCGAAUUACUUAAAUACGCUUGUCUUGCCAAAUUAAGCUGGAAGGUGUUAUCUCAAGAAAAUAAUUGACGGUCCAGUUAGUAAAGAAGAAAAUACCUCGGGCAGUAAGAUGACUUUCUUCAUUGCGAGAUAUAGCAAGAUCACUCUUUGGCCUGGAAAAGGAUUCUUAGAAGUAGAGUCGAAUCAUUUUCAUGGGGAUCUUAGGGGAUCCCAUGAUCGUGACCGUUCAUCGUACAUUGUGCGGUCAGUUUUUGUUAUAUACUAUUUAUAUUUAAUUUUAAAUUUUAAAUUUUAAAAUGAUUUCUGAUCGCACGAUAUGCGAUAAACGGUCACAAUCACAAGAUCUCUAAGAUCCCCAGGAAAAGGAAUGUAGAGCACCUUUUCCAGAAGUAGAGAUGUGCUCUAGAAAUGCAUGAGAUGAAUUGUGGGUAGUGAUCAAGACAUAUGCUUUUGAAUCAUCAUUGGAUUUUUCCUUAUAUACUUCCAUCUUGCUCUAAGGAUCAAAGAAGUGCUUUAGACUGGAAAAAGUUAGUCAUUUUAUUGAAAAUAACUGUUGGAAUCACUUCACACUUAAUCAAGUUUUAAGUGUGGAUAUAGUUAAAAAAAAUUGUAAUGUUACGAUCUGCUUCCUCUAAUUGUGAGUUUUGUAUAAAAUCAGCAACGUGGUUGCAAAAUGAAGAAGGACAACAGCUAAUCAGAAAGAGUUUGUUAAGAAAAAUGUGGAAGCUAACUAGUAACAAUUUAUCGUAUAUGCUUGAUUGGAUGAAUAGUCUUGAUUUUUUGGAUUCAAAUGAGUUAAGUGACCUUAGUAGAGUUCUUAUUUGUUGGUAGAUUUGGAAUGAUAGAAAUAAUUGGAUUUUUCGGGGUGAUGUACCCUAUCCUAGAAGGUCUCAAAUGAUUGUUACUAGUGUGGGGGUAGAUUUUUAUAAUGCAAGCAUAAGAAUUAAUUUGAAUAAGGGUACGAUAUCUCCACUAUUGUUAAAUGGCAUCCCCCUGAUAAAGAUUUUGUUAAACUAAACUUGACUUUUUAUUCAAAAUGGUCAUUGAGAUUUGCAUCAUCCAUAAGUUUGGUCCUUGAGAUUUAAAAUCAAUAGAAGUAGUCCCUGAGAUUGUCCACCAUCCAUAAUUUUGGUCCUUCCGCUGAAGCUUUUGGCCGGAAGUUUGGGCAAUUUUCAAAGCUUUGUAACUCAAUCGUUUCUUAACCAAAUUCGACCCAUAAUAUAUCAAAAUGAAGAUAGGAAAGUGUAGAAUAAGGUUAUAUCUAUUUGGAAGCCCAAUGAUUGCCGGAGAUGGUCAAAAAAUAGCCUCAAAGUUGACUGGUCCGAGGAAAAACUGGAAAACUUGCCGGAAACUCGCCGAAACUGGGUAAAAUUUAAACGUUCAUAACUUCUUCAAUACUCAACGAACUCAAGUGAUUCAAAAACGAAAAUCAUACUUCUCAACGAAAAGAAGAGAAUGGUACCUUUUUCAACGGUUAACUCAUUGUGGUUUGGCCAGAAAACGGCUGUUGAAAAACGAGUCAGCAACUUUCGAGCCGUUUUCAGGCCAAACCACGGCGAUUUAGCCGUUGAAAAAGGUACCAUUCUCUUCUUCUCGUCGAGAAGUAUGAUUUUUAUUUUUGAAUCACUUAAUUUCGUUGAGUAUUGAAGAAGUUAUGAACAUUUAAAGUUUGCCUAUUUCCGGCGAGUUUUCCAGUUUUCCCUCGGACCAGUCAAUUUGAGGCUAUUUUCCGACCAUCUCCGGCUACCAUUGGGCUUCCAAAUAGAUAUAAUCUUAUUCUAUACUUUCCUAUCUUCAUUUUGAGAUAUUAUGGGUCGAAUUGAGUUAAGAAACGAUUGAGUUACGAAGCUUUGAAAAUUGACCAAACUUCCGGCCAAAAGCUUCAGCGGAAGGAUCAAAAUCAUGGAUGGUGGACAAUCUUAGGAACUACUUCUAUUGAUUUUAAAUCUCAAGGACCAAGCUUAUGGAUGAUGCAAAUCUCAUGGACCAUUUUGAAUAAAAAGCCAACUAAACUUUGAUGGCUCUGUUAUGCAAGAGAAAACUUUUUUUCAUUUGGGCUUUACUGGUGCUGGUUGUACUCGCGGUUUCUCUCUUUAAUAAAUUUUUCUUCAAUAAAAAAAAAAAAGGUUAGAUGAUGAAUGUAACUAAUUAAAAUGUGAGAAUGUGAUGGUGCAAUAUCAAAGGAAAUAGUUUCAACAUUGUCAAAGAUGAUAUGGGGAGAUGGAGACAUGAGACUCAUUCGUUGGAUGAACGUGUCUAGUUGCCAAAGGCUAUGCGAAAAUUUGGCUCUCGCCGUCUCCGUGAUAUGAAUCUUAUAGGCGGGGAAGUGCUAUCAAGUGUUAUACUUUCAGGCAGCGAAAUUCCAAAUUGGUUCAGUUGCCGUAAGGACGUAUAAAUACAUAGACGGCCACCAAUGAAGUACGUAUAAAUGACCAUGGUGAUUGUUCGUUGAGAUCAAACCAGACAGAUCAAUGCAGCUCAUGGCUGGCUAAAAUACAUUCCAUUACCGGCUCACAUAAAAUCGAAGGUGGAUGAGGGGGAUGAUCAAUCAAAGCCGUACCGGCUCACAUAAAACAGAAUUGUAUGUAACAAUAUCAGGCAAGACUCCAUAACCAAUCAUGGUUUUGAAUAACCUCACACAUUCUUCCCAGUUACCAGACUUGCAUGAAGCAGAAAUCAAGGAAUUAAAAGUGACAACAUCAGGCUUUGUGCCUUACGUUGUCAUAUUUUCCAACAGAGUAAGCGCUUCUUGAAUUCUUUCUUCUUUACAAAGAGCGUUCAUAAGAACAUUAUAGGUGUAUACAUUGGGUGAAAUUCCACUGUUUAGCAUGCAAAUCAAGAAGCUCUUGGCUUUUUCCAACCUCCCCGAUUGGCACAAUGCAGAGAUCAAGGAAGUAAAAGCGACAACCCAUGAGGUCGGAAUUGAGAGCAACCCAUCAACUGUUUACACAUAGAAACCACAGCAGAAUAUUCCUUCAUCUUGGAGAGUGCCCCCAACAAACAAUUCAAAGUCCAAAUAGAGGGCAAGGGUUUGAUUUGAAUCAUGGAAUAAAAGUAACCCAAGGCUUCAUCUUUCCUAAUUUUUCCAGAUUUGCAUCGAGUCUGAAUCAUACUCUCCGACACCAAAUGGGUUUGUUUAAUUGUAUGCGUACAAGUAGGAUUAGCAUUAACAGCGUCGGAAUGAAAUCCCCGACUUGGAUUCUGCAGAAUGGUAAAAAUGAAAGAAGGAAGAUUACCUGGGAAUGGAGUUCUUGCAGUUAUCCUUUUCAUCGUCCUCUUCAGCUUCAGUUCGCUGGACAAAUUCAGCAAACCUCACUUCGUUAAACUAGUCACUUUCAAGGAAGGGGAAAAAUAAGGAACGCAAGUUUGAGGUUAGGGAUGUGUUAUCCACACAUCUCAUUUUACUUCUCACACUCUUGAUAAUUUCUAUCCGUUGAUAUUCUUCAAUUCAUCUGAUCCAACGAUCGAAAAUUAAAAAGAUGUGUGAGAAGUAAAACGAGACGUGUGGAUAUCACAUUCCUUGAGGUUAUUGUGUAUUUUUUUCAAAUAAAUAAGUGUUUGAUAAACAGUAAUGCUAAAAGUGUUUUUUCUAAAACAAGAAUAAGGUUGUUAAUAUGAAAAUUUCAUUAAUUAGUAGUGUUCACUUGCUUCUAAUUAAAAAAAGCGAUUUUUUUAGAAGCAUGUGCAAAGUUGCUUCUAUAUCCUACUAUUUGGACCCAUGAAUUGUGGGUAAAGGUCAAGACAUGCUUUUGAACCCAUCAUUUGAUUUUUCCUUACCCACUUCCAUCUUGCUCCUAUGGAUCAAAGAAGUGCUUCAGACUGGAAAAGGUUAGUCAUUUUAUUGAAAAUAACUGUUGGAAUCACUUCAAACUUAAUCAAGUUUUAAGUGCGGAUAUAGUUAAAAACAAAUUGUAAAGUUACGAUCUGCUUCCUCUAAUGGAGAGUUUUGUACCAAAUCAGCAACGUGAUUGCAAAAUGAAGAGGGGCAACAGUUAAUCCAUUAGAGUUUGUUAACAAAAAUGUUUUGACAAUUAAAAUGUUAGAAUUUGAUGGUGAAUGUAACUAAUUAAAAUGUGAGCAUGUGAUGGUGCAAUAUCAAAGGAAAUAGUUUCAACAUUGUCAAAGAUGAUAUGGGAGACGGAGACAUGAGACUCAUUCGUUGGAUGGACGUGUCUAGUUGCCAAAGGCUAUGCGAAAAUUUGGCUUUCGCUAUCUCCAUGAUAUGAAUCUUACAGCUGGGAAGUGCUAUCAGGUGUCAUACUACCAGGCAGCGAAGUUCCAAAUUGGUUCAGUUGCCGUAAGGACGUAUAAAUACAUAGACGCAGUCAAUGAAGUACGUAUAAAUGACCAUGGUGAUUGUUCUUUCAGAUCAAACGAGACAGAUCGAUGCAGCUCAUGUCUGGCUAAAAUAUAUUCCAUUACCGGCUCACAUAAAAUCGAAGGUGGAUGAGGUGGGGGGGGGGUGGUGAUCAAUCAAAGCCGUAACGGAAACAAGAAAAACAUGGAAAUCUAUUCCCGUUUCUAGACCAGGCUUGAGGCAUCUAUCCUUCUUGGACCAUUUCUUACCCAGCUUAAAAGCUCCAUCUGUUCUCGCCUUAAAUUCUUUGCGAACUUCAUCUGUCAUCCCUCCACUGCAGAGAGCACCGGAAAGUAUCAUCAAAGUUAUGCAAUCGGGUGAGAUUCCAUGGCAUAACAUUUCGUCAAACAACCUUGGGGCUUCUCUCCAUUGGCUGGUACGGCACAGUCCUUUAAUUAAAGAGUUGUAAGUCACAACAUCAGGCUUUUCCCCUCUACAGAACAUUUCUUCGACAAGAUUCAGUGCCUCUGCUGUCUUCCCUUCCGCGCAUAAAGCAUCCAGUACAGAAUUGUAUGUUAUAAUAUUAGGCAAGGCUCCAUAAUCAAUCAUGGUUUUAAAUAAUCUCACACCUUCCUCCCAGUUACCCGACUUGCAUGAAGCAGAGAUCAAGGAAGUAAAAGUGACAACAUCAGGCUUUAUACGUUUCUCAGUCAUUGUUCCAAACAGAGAAAGUGCUUCUUGAAUUCUGUCAUCCUUGCACAACGCGUUCAUUAGAACGCUAUAUGUGUAUACAUCUGGUGAAAUUCUACCGUUAAACAUGCAAAUCAAGAAGCUCUUGGCCUUUUCCAACCUCCCCAAUUGGCACAAUGCAUAAACUAGAGUGGUGUAGGUGACAACAUCUGGCCUGACUCCAUGAUCUUCCAUUCCUUCAAAAAGAGGGAGCACUUCUUCCCAACGACUCAUGUUGCAUAACCCAUGAAUCAAAGAGUUAUAACUGAUAAUAUCCGGUACAACACUUUUGCUGAUC
rnacentral:lncRNA from 1 species